rnacentral:rRNA from 1 species
GAAAUGAACGCUAAUACCGCAUAACAUAUAAGUUUCGCAUGGAACAGAUAUCAAAGGAGAAAUCCGCUAAAAGAUGGACUCGCGUCCAAUUAGCUAGUUGGUAGGGUAAAGGCCUACCAAGGCGACGAUUGGUAGCCGGACUGAGAGGUUGACCGGCCACAUUGGGACUGAGACACGGCCCAGACUCCUACGGGAGGCAGCAGUGGGGAAUAUUGCACAAUGGGGGGAACCCUGAUGCAGCGACGCCGCGUGAGGGAAGAAGGUUUUUGGAUUGUAAACCUCUGUCCUUGGUAAAGAAGCAAGACGGUAGCCAAGGAGGAAGCCACGGCUAACUACGUGCCAGCAGCCGCGGUAAUACGUAGGUGGCAAGCGUUGUCCGGAAUUACUGGGUGUAAAGGGAGCGUAGGCGGUUAUGCAAGUUGAAUGUGAAAUCUAUCGGCUCAACUGAUAGGCUGCGUUCAAAACUGUAUAUCUUGAGUGAAGUAGAGGCAGGCGGAAUUCCUAGUGUAGCGGUGAAAUGCGUAAAUAUUAGGAGGAACACCAGUGGCGAAGGCGGCCUGCUGGGCUUUAACUGACGCUGAGGCUCGAAAGCGUGGGUAGCAAACAGGAUUAGAUACCCUGGUAGUCC